UAAGUGUUUGUUAAUCAAGGUAAGUUCACAUCUUCAUUAUUGAUUUUUAGUAACUUUUGGUGACUACACAAUACUACAAUUUGGUAUACACGGUUAUGCAGAAAAUGUAUGAGAGCUUUUUAUUUUCAGUUGGAAUUUCGUUUUUAACAAUGCUACCAACCAGACGUACAAGCUUAGGCCGUAGAACUCGAAAUACGGCAAGUCAAAGAAAUAUAAGAGCAAAUCAAACUGAUGAGCAUCGCGAAGCGCGAAAUGAACUUGAACUGAAUCGAUAUCAAGAUAGAAAUGUUGUGUUUAAUCCCCACAAAGCUGCAUUCAGUUAUAAUGUGGCAAUUGAUUACAGUUCAGAGCAAAUUGUUGCUAUUGGACUAAUGAACAUUUUGUGUCCACAUUGGGGUUGAAAUUAAAAAAUGAAGCCUCUGGAUUGUGUUGCGCCAGCGGCCAAAGCAAAUUGACGCCAUUGGUACCGCCACCAGAGCCAUUACAUUCAUUGGUUCAUUUUUUGACUCAUAUCCAGCAGUACAAUAAUUGCUUUCAAAUGACAUCAUUUGGGGCAACAAAAGUUAUACGAGACAAUUUUUUGCCUACUUUUAGCAAAUUCAGGGAUUCAAAUAUAUCAUCAAACAGGUUCCUUAUUGCCAGUGCCUGUUGAAGACUAUACAUUUUUGCAAAUAUAUUUUAUGGACAAUUCAGCAAGAGAAGUCGAUCAGCGUUGCGCACACAACAACUCAGUAAAGAGAUCCAUUGUGAUAAACAAGUUCAAACAUUUUUCCUUCAACACAAUGAAUUAGUUGCAUUAGACCGAUGUAUUAGACAUUCACAAAUGCAUUAGACCGCAUGCCAUCAGAUAACCACAAAAUUGUCAUCAGAGCCGAUAAGGCGCCUGCAGGACAGUGAAAUGAUUGAAUCCUAUGAAAUAAACACUAUUAUGAAAAUAUAUUUUGUUUUUUUUUUAAAUUAGUAAAGUCCUUUUCAGGUAUAGUGAGAUCAGGAAAUGAUGGAUUUAUUUUUAUAUGGAGGAUAUUUAUAGAUUCCAAUUCAAAUUGAAUAGGGACUCAUACAUAACUCAGCUAUACAAAAUAAAGUAGAGCAUCAUUGCUACGCGAAAGCGGUACGAAGUUCGCUGGGUCAGCUAGUUUCU